GAACGCUCUCUGGUUUGGAUUUCAAAUUUAUUUCAAGAAAUUGAAGAAGAUUUUCGAAAAUUGAAGUUGAAUGAGGGAUCGGCGGAAAGGACAGGAAUAUACACACAUUCAUCCAUAUACUUACACAAUUGCCCUGUUGUCGGCAGUAAUCCCCGCGGUUUGUUCGGCCCCCGUCUCAAUACUCACCACCCUUUAUUUUCCAACCCGUUAGACUUUUCCUAAUCCACGCCUCAAUCCCACUGUAUUGCAUAAACACCGCCAUC
ensembl:ncRNA F41D9.7 ncRNA